rnacentral:rRNA from 1 species
UACAGAGGUGGCAAGCGUUGUUCGGAAUUACUGGGCGUAAAGGGCGCGUAGGCGGCCUUCUAAGUCAGACGUGAAAUCCCCCGGCUUAACCUGGGAACUGCGUCUGAUACUGGAGGGCUUGAGUGCGGGAGAGGGAUGUGGAAUUCCAGGUGUAGCGGUGAAAUGCGUAGAUAUCUGGAGGAACACCGGUGGCGAAGGCGGGUCUCUGGGCCGUAACUGACGCUGAGGAGCGAAAGCAUGGGGAGCGAACAGG